rnacentral:rRNA from 1 species
UACGUAGGCAGCAAGCGUUGUUCGGAGUUACUGGGCGUAAAGGGUGCGUAGGUGGCUCUAUAAGUAUGGUGUGAAAUCUCCCGGCUUAACUGGGAGGGUGCGCCGUAGACUGUGGGGCUAGAGUGUGGGAGAGGAAAGUGGAAUUCCUGGUGUAGCGGUGAAAUGCGUAGAUAUCAGGAGGAACACCGGUGGUGUAAACGGCUUUCUGGACCAUAACUGACACU